rnacentral:rRNA from 1 species
UACAGAGGGUGCGAGCGUUGUCCGGAAUUACUGGGCGUAAAGGGCGCGUAGGCGGCCUGAUAAGUAGGGGGUGAAAUUCCGUGGCUCACCACGGAACUGCCUUCUAGACUGCCAGGCUUGAGCACGGUAGAGGCAGAUGGAAUUCCCGGUGUAGCGGUGGAAUGCGUAGAGAUCGGGAAGAACACCAGUGGCGAAGGCGGUCUGCUGGGCCGUUGCUGACGCUGAGGCGCGAAAGCGUGGGGAGCGAUCCGG